rnacentral:rRNA from 1 species
GAUGAACGCUGGCGGCGUGCCUAAUACAUGCAAGUCGAGCGAACGGACGAGAAGCUUGCUCCUCUGAUGUUAGCGGCGGACGGGUGAGUAACACGUGGAUAACCUACCUAUAUGACGGGGAUAACUUCGGGAAACCGGAGCUAAUACCGGAUAAUAUAUUGAACCGCAUGGUUCAAUAGUGAAAGGCGGUUUUGCUGUCACUUAUAGAUGGAUCCGCGCUGCAUUAGCUAGUUGGUAAGGUAACGGCUUACCAAGGCAACGAUGCGUAGCCGACCUGAGAGGAUGAUCGGCCACACUGGAACUGAGACACGGUCCAGACUCCUACGGGAGGCAGCAGUAGGGAAUCUUCCGCAAUGGGCGAAAGCCUGACGGAGCAACGCCGCGUGAGUGAUGAAGGUCUUCGGAUCGUAAAACUCUGUUAUUAGGGAAGAACAUAUGUGUAAGUAACUGUGCACGUCUUGACGGUACCUAAUCAGAAAGCCACGGCUAACUACGUG